rnacentral:rRNA from 1 species
ACAGCAGCAGCCGCGGGAAUACAGAGGGUGCAAGCGUUAAUCGGAAUUACUGGGCGUAAAGCGCGCGUAGGUGGUUUGUUAAGUUGGAUGUGAAAUCCCCGGGCUCAACCUGGGAACUGCAUCCAAAACUGGCAAGCUAGAGUAUGGUAGAGGGUGGUGGAAUUUCCUGUGUAGCGGUGAAAUGCGUAGAUAUAGGAAGGAACACCAGUGGCGAAGGCGACCACCUGGACUGAUACUGACACUGAGGUGCGAAAGCGUGGGGAGCAAACAGGAUUAGAUACCCCCGUAGUCCCUGUCUCUUAUAC